AUGCUUGAAGAACACGAUAGGACCACCACUGCGUCUGUUACAUCUUCUCGUAUCAGAUUAUUCCUCUUUCCCGUCAAACCCGAAUCGUUGGGUUCGGCCCUACUUGAUUCUAAAGCUGAUUCUUGGUUUUCUGAUGCUUUGAAUAAUACCUGGAUCGCUAGAAGGGGACAAUCAACUGAUUCGGGCUUUGGUCAUGAGUUAAUCGGUUUUGAAAAUUUGGGUGGGUCCAAUUCCGUUGUUUCUUCAGAGGGACAAGGUGAUAAUUUGAGUGCAAUCGGAGGGAGUGCUGGAGAUGCCAAGCAAACAUUGGAUUUUGGUGGUGGUUCAGUGCCCGAGUCUAUGGUUUUGGAGACGAGCUCUUCAUUUGGGUCGACCAGUUCUUCCAUUUCUAUGUCUAAUAUGCCUGCUAUUGGAGUUCAAGCCGAGGAUGGUGGCGUCAAUUUGCAGGACAAAAGAGUGAGAGUGCCCUCAUCAUCAGCUUCAAUAGAGAGCGAUAGUAUCAUGGGAGGUGCGGGUUUUCAACCUAAAGUUGGAAUUCACCAAGAACCACUUAUUCAAGUUAUGUCCAGUAUGGCCUCCCACAGUCUCUUCGAAGCAGAAGGCUCCAAUGCCAGUCCCUCUCUCAUUCAGACGCCAAAAAUGGUUCAGGUUUCUGGGUAUCCACUACCUCAGACAUUGGAUGGGAAGCAGCCCCAACCUGGAAUUCAGUAUGUUCAUGGUGGUGCCUGUUAUGUACCUCAUUAUCCUAGCGGUCCUCUGCCAGUAUCAUCCUGUUAUCCAUUUUAUCAGGUUCCCAUGCAGCAGCCACAACAAACUCCUUAUCCUCUGAAUCAACAAUACCCAAUAUACUUGGUUCCUGUGCAGCAAAUGCAAUCUCACAGUAUGUCAGUACUGCCCAACAUUAAUCAUGCAGCAGUGAUGGCGUCCAAUCGGCCACCCUUGCAUUCACAAAGUGUCAUAAACCCUCCAUCAGUAGCUUAUAAGGAGGUCAG
rnacentral:misc_RNA from 1 species